UUUAUAUUUGCAGCUUUCAUUUUUUGAAUAUGUCUUUAAAAAAAUCUACCGUAACACAAAAUGUCCUUCACUGAAUACUCCUUUUUCAUUUACUACCUAAAUUUUUUCUCUUUGGUUGCUUUCCUCAAGGAUGCUUGUGUGAAGGGAGCAGCUGCAGGAGGAACCAGGCUACCAUGGUGCUUCCCAAGGCUACUUGGCUGUACCAAGAAGAACCCUGGUGGUUUUGUCAGAUUUCCCUUGUCUUCUGUAAGAUCUUCAGGGCAGUGCAGGACUAUUAUUUUGUACGUGUUUGGGAAAUUUCCGUUACUGUUUGGGAAAAGGGACUUCUCCCAAGUGAAGGGGAUCUGACUUGAAGCAAGAGAAGAGAAGCAAAACCUCUGUGUCAACACCCCAGAGACCACCUAGAGACUCAGCUUUACUUAUGAAGACAGGAAAGAAAUGCAAAUAAUUGAGAGUCCAUGGAGCCAACAUGUGUGUAUUCCUGCAGCAACACUCAGUCCUCAUCCUGCCCAGGGAUGUGCAAAGAACAGACAGAGGUUGGAGUUGCUGCUGUGUGAGAAAGAGACCCAGGUUCUGUGCAAGGUGGUGCUCACACUUGUGCUGGAGCUAUCCUUUGGCUCCAUGCAGCACUGCCCCCAGCCCUGCAAAGCUCAGAGCACUGGUGCUGCUCCCCUUGCCCUGAGGGUCCUACUCCCAGCCAGGACUGAUCUCUCUCCUGCGAGGAUGAGUGAAUGACUCUGCCUCCUUGUUCCAGCAGUCUCAACUUCGCCAGGAGCAUUCGGUGUGCACAGAGUAAAUACUUCCAAGACCACCCAUCUGCCCUCCCUUUGGGCAGCUGUACAGGAAUGUUGCUGUGUAGAAGACAAGAGGAGCAGCUGGUACCUGCAGGAUUAGCAAAAUUCACCUUUCCACUCGAUUUCCACAUGGAUCCCACAGGAACAGGCACUCCUCACCCAGUAACUGCUGAAAGAGAACCCAGGGGAACGACAGUGAGCCGGGGUGAUGCCAUGGGGAUGGGGGCGUGUGUUCCUAACGUGGUAAUCCCAGCUAAAGACCCACCUCCGAGAUCUCCAUGCCCCAGUAAAGCUCAUAUUAAAGCAUGGAGGCCUGAUUUCCUUCCAUGAAGUAAUGGGAUGAAACAGGAAAAAUAAGGCUGUUUGUGGAAACAAGCUUCAUCCCAAGUGGUCUGCAAUGUCCUGGAGACUGUAUGGUCAUGAUCCAUGUUUCAGCAGACACUGUGCAAAAACCUGAAGGCAUCAGAUUGAUAAGAGGAAGAUGCUGUGGAUGUCUGAGGGUGAGAACUGCCCUCACAGCUGUGCCAUCAGGAGGUGACAUGGGAGAUGACUAGAGUCCCACACACAUUCCAGGUACAUUCACGUUCUAGCCUACAUUUAAAAUCUCACGUGAAUUCAUUCUGUCUUUCCUAUGCAGAGUUCUAUAGUGCUUAGAGAGAAGUGGAUUUAUGAACAGAAAAAGACAUGCCACAGAAUAAAUCUAGAUACAGGAAAUUACUUUAAAUGUCAUGUAUUCCCAUAGCCGGAUUAUGGAAAAUAUUUUAUAGUCACUGUUUAUAUGUGUUUAUAGAUUGUAAAAAUGUCUCUUUAGCACUGAGAUGUGCUACUGGUACAUUGGGAUGCAGCCAGUACCACACUGUGUGGGUUUGCUGUGGUGCUUUGAGUGCCCUGGGAGAUAUUAAGGACGGCACCUCUCUGCAAUACACACGCACACACACACACGUAUAUAUACAUAGUAUCUCUAAACAUUUGGCCCUAAACUCUUUAGUAAUUAAAUCUGCAAAUGCAGCUGCAAGAAGGGGAAACUUGUUAUUGAAAUAGAUCCCAGAAGCCUGCAGAGGAUAAAAACGUUUACAAGUUGGAUUGCUAAAAGCUGAAACCUUGGACAUACAGACUGUAUGGCUGUUGCUGAAAGCACUCCCGGCCAUUGCACCAGCUUUGCUUCACACACAGACUUCAUUCCUUGCUCUCAGAUACCCCGCUCAACACAGAUCAGGAUUUAGGGAAGUGCUCUCUGGAGUGAUAACAUGGGCCAGCCCCCCCCUUCCCUGAGAUUGGUGAAUCAACACACAAGAGCUCCUAAUGGUUUUCAAAGCAGCCAAAUACAAACUCAAAAUCCUUUUUUAACACCAUUGUCAGGUGAAUCAGGUAUUUCUCGGAGUGUUUGGUCCCUAAAUUUAUUUUCCUGUCAAGAGAUUGUACUUUCCAUGCAGUAGUUCAGUUUUUCUUGCCAACUCCUUCUCUGAAGGAAAGCCUCUAAGUCACCCAAUGCAGCCCACAGGGCUCUGGUGUGUUACUGAGCAUUAAUCAAGAUAGCAGCGUUGUGUAAUUUCCUGGAACCAAAGCUUUUCUUGAACCUUUAUCUGAGUGCAAAAGGCACUCAGAAGUCUCUUGGGUUGAUGAUGGAUGGUAAUGAGAAAGAAAUACCCCAGAUCCAAGAGCUCCGAUCAGGAUCUCAGCAAACCCUGCAGCCAGCAGCAGCAAGGAAUGGGCUGGAUUCUCCCCAUGGUCACCUGAAGGUCUGAGGGCAUCUCUGGGUGGCUUGACCAGAUCAGCUUCUUCAUCAUUACUUAUUUCCUUUAAGGUUUUUCUGCUAUUUUUAGAAUGACUCCAGUGCUCACAGCUGCCUUAACUACCACAGAAAAGCUGAAUGAACACUUUUCCACUCUUGUUGUCUCUCUGUGCUAAAUACUAUCGCUCUUCUCAUACUUUAUGACCACGGAGUCGUUCCUCUACACACACCACCACUCAUGGUCCUACAAUUACACUUUUGGCAGGAACAUGUUAGGUUUUUAUGGGAAUUAAAAAGCACGAGUGAGAGAGAGAACCUGAACCAAAGACAACACAAAGGGCCUUAUUUCUUUGGGUAGAAGCCCAACAGUGCUAUUAAAUAGCUCAAAGCAGAACAGAGCACUCUCUCCAAGAAGCAAAGCUGAGAGACACCACACUCCAGCAAUUAUUUGGUGCCCCACGGAGAAAGGAAAAUAUUCCAAGAGGAGAUUGCUGUAGGAGAUUGCUGCUGCUGAGCACUGACCCCGCCGGCCGCACUAGGACAGUGAGCUGGAGCUGAGUUGGACAGUGUUUGUUCAAGACCAGCUGUGUUUGUGGCUCCUCUUUCCUCCACCUCUGUGUAACAGUUUUCCUGUGCUGUGCUAAGAGAAAACCCCCACAGAGAAUGAAUCACUGGGAGCUGGACCCAGGGCACCUGCUCCAGGGCAGCCCCAGCUCUGUCUGUGGCACAAGGGGGCAAGGGGUCCCACCAGGGUGCCUGAUGGCACCCAGCUCUUUCUUCUGUAAGGAGAUGUCAGCACCCCAAAGGAUCAGAAAUAGCCUUCUAAAGGACAAAAUGGACUUAAAAAGAGAGUUAAAUCCGAAUGUUCAUUUGAUCCAGGUCCUGCUGAGCUGUGGUGGCUGGAGCGCUGCCGCGUGCCUGCUCCUUGCAGCACUGAGGGGAGAUGAGCCCGGCGUGGGACCGGAAUAGCUGUGAAAUUCUGAGAAGUUUGGCUUUGGUUCCAAACUUUAUCACUGGCCAAACCAGUGGCUUUGAUGUGAAAUCCCAAACUCUGCAAGCAUCCGAGUCUGAGCAUCGAGGGCUGGUUGUGCUGCCAAUAAUGGGCGUGUGAGCUCUGAAAUAACAGCGCAGGCUGGGAGCCAUGGAAAAGGAGUGGGGUCGUUUUCCCUUCCUGUUUUAAAGUCGAUGCAGAUUUCACUAGAUAGCACUGCUGUCUCGUUUGCUUGCAUGACAAAGGUGGUGUUGAUGGCAACUUGGAGGAUUGCUAAUGGUCCAAAAGUUUUUUGCAAGUCUGGAUUGCCAGGAACUUUUGUGGCUCUUCUAUGGGUCCUGUGGCACCAAUUAAGUAGCCAGCAAAGAUUCAAACUAGGAGGUGGCCAACUAAGGUGAGCCUGUCUUUUUUCCUUAGAUAUAAAAUACCUGGCUACUAUGUGGAGGAAAGCAGAAGUUAACACAUACUGGGUUAAACCAGGAUUGGAGGUCGACUCAAAUACUUGUCCUUGGCUUUGGACACAAGCCUUUAUAUGGGGCUGGAAAGAAAUGUUCUGAAUGGUCUCUGUGUGGCUACAGUGAUGAAGAGUGCAGUUAAUCACAAUUGUCAUUUAGAUGAUCAGCUAAAGAUCAUGCAGAGAACUCCAAGGAGUACUCCAGAGAGAUGAGAGACUGCUAAAUCCAGGAGUCUCCUAAGGUUCAGCUAACGAGAUCAGCAUCCCCUGAACCCAGCUCUGGAAACACGGUCAUUCCACUCAGGUCACACUGGAUUUGUGGCAGGUCAAACAGGCUUGUGCUGAGACCAUUGUAAAACGUUAUCCCUCCUUCUGUGCUUUGCUGCCUCCUAGCACCUCAUUCUGGCACAUGGAACUGACGGGGAGCAGCCACUGACAUGUGCCGUGAGUUACACCAUCGUUGUGGUCUCAUCUCUGCCACCCAAGGAGGGUGGCUCUGUGCUGCCAAAGCUGCCAAGGACCCAGGGACGACACACCAGGUGCAGGUACCUUGUUUUGGGUGUUUGCUAUCUUGGUUAAGGGCAGGGCCGUGGGCACCUUUCCUCCUUGGGUCUGCCUGUGCUUGGCUUCCCAGGGAAAAGUGUCUGGAGGGAGGGGAAACCACAGGAGAUGCUGUAACACCUUAUCAGUUGUUGGUUGUAAUAUUUUGUGAUGAGGUAGGAAGCCCCUGGGGGCAGGGGGCACUCAACGUGCCCCUUGGCUCCUGCUCAGCAGCCCUUAGGCUGGGGAGCUCCAAACAGUUGGGGUCCCUGCAGUGGGGUCCCAACCCACGCCCUGCCCAGAACCCACCACUCAGUUCCCAGCAGGCAGGAGGGAUGUUAAGCUGGGUGACACUUCACAGGGCUUUUAAAUGCCACCAUCCCCCUGCCACCCACCCCCGGUGUCAGUGCAGGACACUGGGCACAGUGUCAGACCACAAAGCCCUGACUGUCCUGUCUGGGCUGGCCCUGCAGGUGUGGCUGCCCUGUGCGCCCACGGAUGGACGGACAGAAGGAUGGACAGAUGACAGCAAAUGUCAGACUCUAGCCCCAAAACUUCCCUCUAUGCAAUACUCUUAAUCCAAGGGGUGAUCUGGUUCUCCUGUUGUACCACGUCCUGUCUGAGCCCUCCAGUCCCACCCCAAGCCAAGCCUCCUGCCGAUGCCCCGUUCAGCCUCCCCAGUUCAGCUAUGAAAGAAGAGGGUUUCAGCACUGACUCCACAGCACUGUGGGCAGGUGGCACAUGGCAGCACGGGACAGGCGAAGUACAGGACCCACCAUGUGAGACUUCAGUCAGAGGUCAGUGUGAUUUGUGUUACAGAGAAAUGGGUUAUUCCAGAGGUGUGUUACAUGAGUGGAAAAAUUCAGGUUCAAAAAUUUGAGGCCCAUUUUUUUCAGCCUGUUUCCCAGUCUCUUUUUUUUAAUAUUCUAUAUAUAAAAUAUA